UACGUAGGGUGCAAGCGUUAAUCGGAAUUACUGGGCGUAAAGCGUGCGCAGGCGGUUUUGUAAGUCUGUCGUGAAAGCCCUGGGCUCAACCUGGGAAUUGCGAUGGAGACUGCAAGGCUAGAAUCUGGCAGAGGGGGGUAGAAUUCCACGUGUAGCAGUGAAAUGACGUAGAGAUGUGGAGGAACACCGAUGGCGAAGGCAGCCCCCUGGGUCAAGAUUGACGCU
rnacentral:rRNA from 1 species